rnacentral:rRNA from 1 species
UACGAAGGGGGCUAGCGUUGCUCGGAAUCACUGGGCGUAAAGGGUGCGUAGGCGGGUCUUUUAAGUCAGGGGUGAAAUCCUGGAGCUCAACUCCAGAACUGCCUUUGAUACUGAGGAUCUUGAGUUCGGGAGAGGUGAGUGGAACUGCGAGUGUAGAGGUGAAAUUCGUAGAUAUUCGCAAGAACACCAGUGGCGAAGGCGGCCAACUGGACCAAUACUGACGCUGAGGCGCGAAAGCGUGGGGAGCAAACAGG